rnacentral:rRNA from 1 species
AGCGAACGCUGGCGGCAGGCCUAACACAUGCAAGUCGAACGAACCUUUCGGGGUUAGUGGCGGACGGGUGAGUAACACGUGGGAACGUGCCUUUAGGUUCGGAAUAACUCAGGGAAACUUGUGCUAAUACCGAAUGUGCCCUUCAGGGGAAAGAUUAAUCGCCUUUAGAGCGGCCCGCGUCUGAUUAGCUAGUUGGUUGAGGUAAUGGCUCACCAAGGCGACGAUCAGUAGCUGGUCUGAGAGGAUGAUCAGCCACAUUGGGACUGAGACACGGCCCAAACUCCUACGGGAGGCAGCAGUGGGGAAUCUUGCGCAAUGGGCGAAAGCCUGACGCAGCCAUGCCGCGUGAAUGAUGAAGGUCUUAGGAUUGUAAAAUUCUUUCACCGGGGACGAUAAUGACGGUACCCGGAGAAGAAGCCCCGGCUAACUUCGUG